AGUUGAAGUUGUGGUUGCGGGAACAGGUUACCUACGCUUGGUUAAAUUACAUAAAUAUUAAGACUAAGUGUAUUAACUAAUUAUAUUAUUUCAGUUAGGUAUAUGGGAUUGUGGAACGGGUAGAGUAAAAUCACGGGAUGAUGGUAAAACAAGCUAAAAUUGUGAAUACCGUGAUGAAACGGUAACGUUGUUGAAGCGGCUAACAGUGAAACAGUGCUAACACUGUUUUAAUGCAUAUUCCUUUAAAAAUAAAGAACCUACAACUCUUGCAUAAAAUAUAUCACAUUGUUUUUGCGCGGCACAUUAUGGGAGGUCAGGCCGCGUCCGCGGGGGGCAUUUGUUGGCCACUCCGACGUCUACUACCAGAACAGUAACAUCUGAAACACAAUCACUGAUAACGAGCCCUUGAUUAGACAAACGGGCUUAUGAAAAUAUUUAGAAAUCGAACAAAUUCAUAAUACUGUAAUUGAUUUAUUUAAGAAUUGCAAAAUUGCCUAUGAAAAUUGAAUGAUCGCUUCGUGGGUCUAGAGUAGUAGUUAGCGCUCCUCAAAACUGCAUGACGAGAUCAAGAUUCGGUUUGCAAAUACAGAAUCUAACAUCUGUUUAUCUUGGGCUGUAGGGGCUGGGCAAACUGUUACCUGACGCUUUGACCCAAAGGAUCUGUUGUGUCAUUCUGCUGUUGUGUACUCUUGAUUUCCAAACAGCACCCGCAGUAGCACUGCAAGUGUCGGAGACUAUAAACAUAUUGGUAACCACUGUUCAAUGUUCAUUCUUUUUUUUUAUUGCUUAGACAGGUGAAUGAGUGAAUAAACAUAUUGGCAUUCAUCUUGAGACGUGAGUUUCAAGUAUCAGUUAUAUAGUACCAUGGUCGCCUCAUCCUUUAAACUGGAACAUAUUACUACUUCAUGGCAGAAAUAGACAAGGAGAGCAGAUCUCUGUCCACCAAGUGUAGAUAGUUAGGUAGGAGGUAACUACAAAGAGGAUACUGAUGCUGUAGCUGCAGCUGCAGGAACGCUCACCACAGCCCUAAUUAAUAGGAUCGACCAGAGCAUUAUCAUUUGUUUUUAUUGCAGUACACAUCAAAUGGCACAGAGCAUUGUUAACACAACUUUAUUAAUUCUAAGUAAUUCUGUAUUUUUUACUCAAUGUGAUCAGAAGAUCACAACGAUUAUUUGUCACCAAAACAAAAAAACAUGUUUUAAUAAAAAAAUGGAAUUGCAUUUAAUUUACCUUAGGGGUGUGUGUCUCCCACAGCGCAGGUACAAACUCAUCCACGUUUUCAUAAGUUACUGGUAUUUCAAUCAAAACAAGCUCGCACCUGUGUUUAUUUUCUAUUUCUUGUUUAUCUAAAAGUUUCACGGCUUCCCAACUUGCGUUCACUGGAUGAUUAGCAAACGGGCCGAAACCAGUUACCAUUAUUAUGGGUUUAAAUAAAAAAUCUAAGUCAUUAGACAUUUUUUAAAUUUAUUUGCAGAUUUGAGAAUUGAGUGAGCUCAAUCUUGUUUGUGUUAUAAUCAAAGAAUAGAAUAAGUAGUGCUUAUAAUUUAAUCUUAGCCUUAAACUUAAUUUUCAUUACUAGUAGGUUGAAUUUGCUACAUUUCAAAACACUAA